rnacentral:misc_RNA from 1 species
AACGCAUAUUGCGCUCUCUGGUAUUCCGGGGAGCAUGCCUGUUUCAGCAUCAUUUGAACAUCUCAAACUCAUUUUUUGAUUUUGGAAAGCUGGGCCUUUUUGUUGAGUGUUUCUACCCAACUGGCCUGAAAUUCUGUAAUAAAUAAUACAAGAAAUUGUGCAGAUGCCUUUGUUGCUUAAGACGAAAAGCUAACUAGUUGACUGUGGUCGAACUUUGCUGACUAGUCUUUAAUAACUAGGCAAAUCUACACUCACAAAUUGAUCUGAAAUCAGGUAGGAUUACCCGCUGAACUUAA